rnacentral:misc_RNA from 1 species
UCUCCGUUGGUGAACCAGCGGAGGGAUCAUUACCGAGUUGUGCAUCUCCCAAACCUCUGUGAGCUAACCACACGUUGCUUCGGCGGAUCGCCCCGGUGCCGUAGCCCCCCAGGGCGGUGGCUUCCCGGAUACCAAGGCACCUGCCGAGGGACCCAAACACUCUCUUCGCCGCCGGCGGAAUAUACGCCAGAGUGAUUUACAAAAUGAAACAAAACUUUCAACAACGGAUCUCUUGGCUCUG